CUCUCUCUAUCCUGAGUUACUCAACCAGACCCGGACCUUACUCAUACUUACUUCCCGGUACUCAAAUCCGCUAUUUCUCAACCGGACUCGAAGACAGUGGUCUAACCAUUUCAAAGUGCUAGUACUCGAGGAAUGGCAGAAGAUUGCAAAGACUCGAGAACAGAAAGGGCAUUGGCAUCGGGGCUAGAAAGCAAGCAAGAAAGGAAAGCUAGAGAGAGAUAGCCCUUUUAGAUUCUAAAGUAUAUAUAACCAUUCUAAAGGCUUAUAAUCAAACGGACUCUCAAACCAUAAGGCAUGGGGUUCGCUUGAAAGUAAAAUUAAUGAGCUUGUUAAUGGUACCUGGGCACCUCUUGCUAGCUGUUCUACCGCCAUCUUUGAUGGCCUGUAGCUUGAUUUCGAACAGAGAAAUUGCUUCUUUCUAUUAAAGGAUAGACGAGCACACGUACGCGAAAGAAAGCCAAGGAAAGAGCGGCAAAAGCUUUUUCUCUUUUAUUUAAAGAAGUAGAUGCCAUGAGGAUGCCCAAUGGAGAAAAAGAUGUCAGCUGGGGGAUUCAAGCUCUAUACCUUACCUCUCCCAAAGAAAGGGCAAAGAAAAGGCCUAUAAUCAACGCAAAGGGGAGCUCUAAGGAUAGGAUACAGGCAGGGAUAGAAAGAUCAGAAAGAAAGGCAAAGGCCAAGGUUCAUUAGCUCCAUAGUUGCUAACAGGUAGGGGCUGUUACUGGUCCGCAGAUGAACUGAAUCUCUCAAGUUGUUGAGCAGGAAUGGGAACCUAGCAGAUGCACUCAUAGCUGAUGCUAAUGAUUUAUAACAUUGAAAAAAAUAUAGUAUAGAAAACGACUCCAAAAAAGUAAAAUGCAAGAGAGGUUGGUAACUAGGUUUUCGGGUCCUGACAAAGGAUGGAAACCGGCUUUCCUUAAUCCCGAUAAGGGUGCGGGAGGAAAACAGCCAGAUCUAUGGCUGAUAGAUGGGGAACUACCAACCUCCACAGGAGCCGCUAGCUCUCUAAUGAAAUCAAGUCCCGGAUGCAGUAGAGCUAAAAUCUCACCGGAGGAAAAAACUUUAAUUCUUCCGUCUUGAAAGCGAGUGAGCAAGCCCCAUCCUCUUGGGAGUUUCCAACCUAGUCCUAAGGGCAGGGUUUGCGGGUAGGCAAGCUAGAAGCGACAGAGCCGAUUCUUAUCUUAAGUUUAAGUACCCGACCAGUAGUAUGACCUAAUCGAUUUAGUUAACUUCAUAAAGAUACAGAAUGCCUUUCAAUUCAGGGGAAGAAUAUAUGACAAUUGAACUUAAAACAAAAAUAUCAGUCUCAAGGAAAGUUAGUACUUUCAUCAGCCGAAGAAGGCUGAAUAUGAUCAAUAGCUUGAUUUAACUCCAGCGAGCCAUAGAGCAGCUUUGAGGUUCCCAAGCGGUAAAGACCAUACAGGAGUUUAAUGCUCACGGAAAUUAGUUUUAUUUCCCACUUGCUUUGCGGGAAUUGAAAGCCUCUUUGCUAUACUAGCCCUUGACCAGUGAGUGAGCCUAGACUCUCUCUAUUCGAGUGAGUUCCACUUCUCUUGAAGCGUAAUACCCUUACUGCUAGUUUCCUAUUCCCGAAUCUAAGGGUUAGCUUUCUAUCUCUCUUAAAGAGGGUCUUCGUAGCGCUUUCCUCUCACUGUUAUUGCCCGGUACCCUAGCUAGAUUCAAGUUCUCCUCCCCAUUCUUUUAAUGGUAGCAAUGGAUCCGGAACAACUUCUGACCGCUUAACCACACUAAGAUUUAUUCAGUCGGAAGACUGCUAUUGAAUUAGCGCUUUCAAAGGGCGACUCCACUGCUAUUGAUAAGUGCAGCUAACCUCUUGUUAGCAGCUUCUCCCGUCCAGGAUUAUAAACUGCUAUCGAUAAUUCGUGGAGGGUUCUUCAAGGGCCCUGACCGAUAGGAAUCAAGGAUGAGUCUCUACAUCUAUCUUAUAUUUGUUCAUUUAGGAUUAAAAAGGCUUUAGGAAGACAAUGACAGACUUUCCUUUCCUGAAAGCUUAGUAAGGGAGUCCUAAGUCGAAUAGCCUUAUUCAAUUCAAUGAUUUUUGAGUGUUAUUCAAUCAAUGAUUUUUGAGUGAAUACCCGAAAGAAUGGACAACCCACGGGUUACUCUGUCCUUAAAGACUCAUGUUAUCGUUCACGCUUCCCGGCCAGGGAUUCAAUACUUAAAAGGCAGCUACAUGUCUACUAUUCAUACUUUAGAAAUGAAGGACUCUCUCUAUCCUGAGUUACUCAACCAGACCCGGACCUUACUCAUACUUACUUCCCGGUACUCAAAUCCGCUAUUUCUCAACCGGACUCGAAGACAGUGGUCUAACCAUUUCAAAGUGCUAGUACUCGAGGAAUGGCAGAAGAUUGCAAAGACUCGAGAACAGAAAGGGCAUUGGCAUCGGGGCUAGAAAGCAAGCAAGAAAGGAAAGCUAGAGAGAGAUAGCCCUUUUAGAUUAGGAAGUAUAUAUAACCAUUCUAAAGGCUUAUAAUCAAACGGACUCUCAAACCAUAAGGCAUGGGGUUCACUUGAAAGUAAAAUUAAUGAGCUUGUUAACGGUACCUGGACACCUCUUGCUAGCUGUUCUACCGCCAUCAAAGAUGGCCCAUAACUUGAUUUCAAACAGAUAAAUUGCUUCUUUCUAUUAAAGGAUAGACGAGCACACGUACGCGAAAGAAAGCCAAGGAAAGAGCGGCAAAAGCUUUUUCUCUUUUAUUUAAAGAAGUAGAUGCCAUGAGGAUGCCCAAUGGAGAAAAAGAUGUCAGCUGGGGGAUUCAAGCUCUAUACCUUACCUCUCCCAAAGAAAGGGCAAAGAAAAGGCCUAUAAUCAACGCAAAGGGGAGCUCUAAGGAUAGGAUACAGGC
rnacentral:lncRNA from 1 species